rnacentral:rRNA from 1 species
GAUGACGCUGGCGGCGUGCCUAAUACAUGCAAGUCGAGCGAGCGGCGGACGGGUGAGUAAUGUCUGGGAAACUGCCCGAUGGAGGGGGAUAAAUACUGGAAAAGGUAGCUAAUCCCGCAUACCAUCGGAUGUGCCCAGAUGGGAUUAGCUAGUAGGUGGGGUAACGGCCCACCUAGGCGACGAUCCCUAGCUGGUCUGAGAGGAUGACCAGCCACUCUGGAACUGAGACACGGUCCAGACUCCUACGGGAGGCAGCAGUGGGGAAUAUUGGACAAUGGGCGCAAGCCUGAUUCAGCAAAGCCGCGUGUGUGAAGAAGGCCUUCGGGUUGUAAAGUACUUUCAGCGGUGAGGCGUUACCCUCAGAAGAAGCACCGGCUAACUCCGUGCCAGCAGCCGCGGUAAUAC